rnacentral:rRNA from 1 species
UACGUAGGGCGCGAGCGUUGUCCGGAAUUAUUGGGCGUAAAGAGCUCGUAGGCGGUCUGUCACGUCUGCUGUGAAAACUCGGGGCUUAACCCCGGGUCUGCAUUCGAUACGGGCUGGCUAGAGUGUGGUAGGGGAGAUCGGAAUUCCUGGUGUAGCGGUGAAAUGCGCAGAUAUCAGGAGGAACACCGAUGGCGAAGGCAGUUCUCUGGGCCGUAACUGACGCUGAGGAGCGAAAGCGUGGGGAGCGAACAGG